rnacentral:lncRNA from 1 species
CUCCAACACUGUUCAAAAGUAUCUCUGAACCUUGAGGAGAGGAGUUUUAUGAGGAGCAUGUGCAACUGCCACCCCAAGAUGGCAUCCAGGACGGCUGCCAGGUCUUAUGACCUGCGCCUGACUUCCUCAUUACCUCAGACUUAGCCACAUCCCAGCCGCCUGCACUGCGCAGACGCCAUGCCUCGUCAGCUCGCUUGAGGUGUUGUCACUUGCUGUGAACCAAUGGACUGCCGUUACGUGACUGGGGUGGAGUCAGUAGGGUAUUU